rnacentral:lncRNA from 1 species
GAAAGGAAAGAGGGGGAAAUAUACACGUGGUGGUAAAGUCAAGAUGUUAUUUCGUACUUGAAUUUUAUUGGAUGAUGUACCGGAAGUGAGAAGGCAAAGUGACGUCAGGAAGCGGGAGAUUUAAAAGACCUUUCUCUGAUUAAGUUGGCUUUUGGCAGAUAGUCGUGUUGAUGGAGUUACUAAGUAUUUUAACGUCUCGCCAGCGAUUUAGGGAGAGUACAUGGCUGGGAGACUGAAGAAUUCCUUUCGAAGUCGUUUCCUUAUUUAAAGAGACUUCAAGUAAACAAGAAAGAAAAUGGUUGCUGAACAAAAGAAGCAUGGAAAUUCAAAGACAAUUCAGCAUUGGAAGAAUCUAAUAUAAACGAUGAAACAUCAAGACAAAUGCUUUUUUUCAAAGCUGUUUGAAGAAAAUUGACAUCUGAGAGGGAAAAAAAACAUCAAAGAGGUUAUAUCAACAUGCAAAAACAGAUUAUUAUUCAUAAACAGGUUGAUUUAACAUGCAUGACAGGUAAGUUCUCAAUGAACUGGAGGUUGACAUCAUCUUCAAAGUGAACGAAAUGUUUAUUAGAGACCAGAAGUGCCAUAAAUAACAAUAGAUAUCUAUGAGACAGGGUGACUGACUGUAUAUGAGUGACAAUGUGUCUGAAACAAAGAAGGAGUGAUUGCAGGUGAGAAUAUAUAUAUAUCUGUGGAACAAAGAGGAGCGGGGGUGGGGUGGGGGGCAAAAAAACGACAUCUAUUAAAUAGAAUAGAACAGUGUUGUUAAAAUACUGGGAAUAACCCUAAUUCAGUGAAACCUAGUGCCAAAGGCUGAAGGGAUUGUGUCAAAUACAGAACAAAAGAAAAGUGGUAAGGGCAAAAUAAUAAUAAUUAUUAUUAUUAUUGGUAACUAAAAAUGUGAUGGUGUCUCAGGCGCAAAGUCUGACUCAGAGA